ACACGUCUACAUUAGAUACCCCCGUAGUCCCAGCCGUAAACUAUGCGCGUUAGGUGUAUCGGUGACCACGAGUCACCGAGGUGCCGAAGGGAAACCGUGAAACGUGCCGCCUGGGAAGUACGGUCGCAAGGCUGAAACUUAAAGGAAUUGGCGGGGAGCACCACAACGGGUGGAGCCUGCGGUUUAAUUGGACUCAACGCCGGGAAGCUCACCGGAUAAGACAGCGGAAUGAUUGCCGGGCUGAAGACUCUGCACGACUAGCUG
rnacentral:rRNA from 1 species